rnacentral:rRNA from 1 species
GACGAACCGUGCGAACGUUGUUCGGAUUCACUGGGCGUAAAGCGCACGUAGGCGGAUAUUUAAGUCAGGGGUGAAAUCCCGGGGCUCAACCCCGGAACUGCCUUUGAUACUGGGUAUCUGGAGUAUGGAAGAGGUGAGUGGAAUUCCGAGUGUAGAGGUGAAAUUCGUAGAUAUUCGGAGGAACACCAGUGGCGAAGGCGGCUCACUGGUCCAUUACUGACGCUGAGGUGCGAAAGCGUGGGGAGCAAACAGG